AUGGGGAAGUCGCCGUGCUGCGACAAGGCGAGGGUGAAGCGGGGGGCGUGGUCGCGGGAGGAGGACGCCAUCCUCACCACCUUCGUCGCCAGGUUCGCCAACGCCGGCAACUGGACCACGCUGCCGCAUAAGGCAGGGCUUCGCCGCUGCGGCAAGAGCUGCCGCCUACGCUGGCUCAACUACCUCCGCCCGGCGCUCCGGCGCGGCGGCUUCACCGAGGAGGAGGACGGCCUCAUACUGUCCCUCUACGGCCACAUCGGAAGCAAGUGGUCGGCGAUCGCGGCGAAGCUCCCCGGCCGGACGGACAACGACGUCAAGAACCACUGGAGCACCAAGCUCAAGAAGAGGCACGUGAUGCUGAUGAGCACUGCGGCGGCGCCAUCGACUCCUCCAGCCGGAGUUGCUCCCCCGGCCACUCCUCCUCCCGCGCUUGUCGAUCUCGAAGCGGCCCUCGCCACGGUCGACGACGGCGGGGAGCUCACGUGCGAAGCGGAGCAGCUCUACGCCGAGCUCAUGGGGCUCAUCGAGCAGCAGCCCACGGGCCACGGCCAGCAGCGCAGUCUGUUAUAG
rnacentral:rRNA from 1 species